GACGAACGCUGGCGGCGUGCUUAACACAUGCAAGUCGAACGGUAAGGCCUUCGGGUACACGAGUGGCGAACGGGUGAGUAACACGUGGGUGAUCUGCCCUGCACUUUGGGAUAAGCCUGGGAAACUGGGUCUAAUACCGAAUAGGAUCAUGGCCUUCAUGGGUUGUGGUGGAAAGCUUUUGCGGUGUGGGAUGGGCCCGCGGCCUAUCAGCUUGUUGGUGGGGUAAUGGCCUACCAAGGCGACGACGGGUAGCCGGCCUGAGAGGGUGUCCGGCCACACUGGGACUGAGAUACGGCCCAGACUCCUACGGGAGGCAGCAGUGGGGAAUAUUGCACAAUGGGCGCAAGCCUGAUGCAGCGACGCCGCGUGAGGGAUGACGGCCUUCGGGUUGUAAACCUCUUUCAGCAGGGACGAAGCGCAAGUGACGGUACCUGUAGAAGAAGGACCGGCCAACUACGUGCCAGCCGCCGCGGUAA
rnacentral:rRNA from 1 species